GGCAACGUGGCCGAGUGGUCUAAGGCGCUGGAAUUAGGAGACUUUCCCAAAAAGGAAUCUUACGUAAUAUCCAGUCCUGCGGGGCGUGAGUUCGAACCUCACCGUUGUCA